CUUUCGGAGCUCCAGCCUGCCCCUCCUGACGCUCUCAGAGUCUGGCCUUCUGCUGGGCCCCGGGUCUCUCACUGGCAGAAUGGAGUUCUCGGAGCUGAUCCAUACGGGCUGAGCCCAAGCAGAGUUUCUACGGGGCCCGGAGGCGCCCCCGCUUCGCGGCACGGUGUGAGUCACCGUCCACCACCUGCUCCUGUCGCCAGGGCCCGCGUCCUCUCCGGACCUGUGGCUGCUGCUGUUGCGUAGCGUCGACUCCUUCGAGAAGCAGGCCUGAGAUUGGGCGACUCCUGGCACUUCCUCCCGCCCGAACUCUACUGCAAGAGAGUAGCUCGCGAAGUGGGCGCGGUCGUAGGGGCCCGGGAAGGUGGAAGCGCCGGGCCUGGAAGAGGCGCGGGGACAGGGCACUCCCUGGGUGCCCUAGACCUGGCCUCUCUCCUCCCUGCGCUGCAGACCAACGCGUGGCGGCUGAGCGAGGUUCUGCUACGCUCCAGCCAGCCCCUAACUGGUCCCCAGAAGCGGCGCUGCUACAGGGACCAGGAGCUGCUGCGAACUGCGCUGGCGGGGGCUCGUCCUUGGGCGCGGGGCUUCAUCAUGGACACGCUCUCGGCCCAGGCCGCGAAACAAGCCCGCGUGACUGGCGGAGGCACAGAGACCAAGGCCGCUUAACCUGGCUGGUUGCACUGGUCCCUGGAGAGCACUGAGCACAGGGGCUGCCACAGUGGCCGGCUCAGACAUGGCAGAGAUCAGCAGAGAAUGGGCAAUCAGGCUCCCCUGAGAUGAGCAGCAGCGCAGAGGAGGUGCCCCUCUCUUACUACACCAACUUCAGAGGGCGUCCCCUGCAGGAGAGCUUCAUGCGCCUGGUGGAGGCCUGUGGGGACUCGGAGCAAAGCAUGGACAACUGGCUGAGUCGGCUGGACGGCUGCCGCUGACUGUAACAUGUAAAGCAGGCACUGAGCACCACCUGCCUGGCAGUCCAGGGCAUGGAGAGGCACAGACAGCACCCUGCUUGUGACUUCACUGGCCCAACUCAUCCUGGACCCCUUGAGCAAGACCAUGGCUGGAUUCCAGGAACUGGUGGAGUGGAAGUGGAUCCAGGAAAAUGCCGUGUGAAGGGAGGACUCAGAUGCACUCCCUGUGGUCUGGGCUCAACCAGCCAAAAGAGCAACAAAGACUCCAGAACCCACUCUACCUCCUCAAUCCCUUGGCCAUCUGUGGAGCCCCAGAGCCUGCGGCUGUGGCAAGGCCUGUUUCUGCGCUGGACCUGCUCACCUGAGCCUGCAGAAGCUGCAUGGGGGAAGAGUGUGGCAAAUAGUGACAGGAAGGGAGAAGACAGAAGCCUCUCAGCCAACUGCUUCAGCCGAGCCCCUAUUCUAAGCACUGGCUCCUUGGAUAGCAGCUGAGAUGUUCCUGAAACCUCUGCAGGCCCCUUAGGACCUUUACACCUUGGAUGAGGGUGCCUGCAACCCAGGUUAGCCAAAAGUACUGAGGGUCUUAAGUUUGAAGUGUCCAAAGUAUAGGGAGGUCUCAAUAAUAAAAGUCUCCAUGAUCAGCA
rnacentral:lncRNA from 1 species